rnacentral:rRNA from 2 species
UUCUAUGACGUUAGCGGCGGACGGGUGAGUAACACGUGGGCAACCUGCCUGUAAGACUGGGAUAACUUCGGGAAACCGAAGCUAAUACCGGAUAGGAUCUUCUCCUUCAUGGGAGAUGAUUGAAAGAUGGUUUCGGCUAUCACUUACAGAUGGGCCCGCGGUGCAUUAGCUAGUUGGUGAGGUAACGGCUCACCAAGGCAACGAUGCAUAGCCGACCUGAGAGGGUGAUCGGCCACACUGGGACUGAGACACGGCCCAGACUCCUACGGGAGGCAGCAGUAGGGAAUCUUCCGCAAUGGACGAAAGUCUGACGGAGCAACGCCGCGUGAGUGAUGAAGGCUUUCGGGUCGUAAAACUCUGUUGUUAGGGAAGAACAAGUACGAGAGUAACUGCUCGUACCUUGACGGUACCUAACCAGAAAGCCACGGCUAACUACGUGCCAGCAGCCGCGGUAAUACGUAGGUGGCAAGCGUUAUCCGGAAUUAUUGGGCGUAAAGCGCGCGCAGGCGGUUUCUUAAGUCUGAUGUGAAAGCCCACGGCUCAACCGUGGAGGGUCAUUGGAAACUGGGGAACUUGAGUGCAGAAGAGAAAAGCGGAAUUCCACGUGUAGCGGUGAAAUGCGUAGAGAUGUGGAGGAACACCAGUGGCGAAGGCGGCUUUUUGGUCUGUAACUGACGCUGAGGCGCGAAA